rnacentral:lncRNA from 1 species
GGGGAGAGAGAUCCUUAUUACUACUCUGAAUGCAACACGUUGUCUCAAAACCAUCUAUAGAGCUGCAGGCCCAGAGAUGUUCCCCUACCACAGAGGUUUACUUGUGUAACACAAAGCUGCAGCCAGGAAUUUGGCUGCCAGAAGCUUCCCUUUUUCCCCUGGAUGCUAUUGCAUACUUCACAAUUGAAAGCCGUAGCCAGAACUCAGAUGGCUCAAUCCAAGGUUACCCUCUCCACAGAGCUCUGUUGUGUCCUCUUCCUGCAUCCAUGGCUAUUCCAUUGAUUCACUGCAGCCAAGCUCAUUUUCGUUCAUGGACUUACACGAGUGUAUUGUCAUGCAAAUUGGGGAUGGAGGAUGCUGGUGGACACUCAGGAGGAGGAUGGCAUGGGGACAGGAGAGGUGCAGUAUGCACGUUGUGUUAAUCACUUGACUGCAGACUAGGGAACUCAGUCAUCAGCCAGAAAAGGAGCAACACAUUUCAUGUUUAGCCACCUCAUAUGGACACAGAACAAUGAGCUUGCUUCACUGGCCAUGUCCUUUCUGUGUGUCAGCCAUGAAAGGAGAUGAAUACUCACCGAGUGUACUGAACACUUGCACAGAAUGCCUAAAAACUGUGGGACUGCAAAGGCUGUGCAGUGCUCCAGUCCAUAACUAAUCCAUUGUCAUGUGCUUACAAAAUGCAGACACUGCCAGGAAUAAAACUCAAGGCUGAGGACCUGGUCCA